AAAAUGCGAUACGUAAUGUGAAUUGCAGAUUUCAGUGAAUCAUCAAAUCUUUGAACGCAACUUGCGCUUAAAAUGAAUAAUUUUAAGCACACUUGUUUGAGUGUCGGUUUUUAUCAUACUUUUGAAUCUUAUGAGUUUCAACUACAAUGUAGUCGUUACUUUAAAAGUAUUUUAUUGGUAUAAUACUAUCUACUAUCAUUUCUUAGUAUAUCUUUGAUAUGACAUAGUGUGUAUUAUACCAUUAUCACCUCUCUUCUAAAUUCGACCUCAAAUCAAGUGAGAUUACCGGCUGAACUUAA
rnacentral:misc_RNA from 1 species